rnacentral:telomerase_RNA from 1 species
UCUCUCCAACUAUUGCAGUUUGCCGACAUCAAUUGCCUCGAACGACUUUACGCUGCGCUCGCAAUGCUUUUCUUUUUCGGGUUUUCAGUCAAAAGGACUUCCAUCUAUAAAAUGUCUAUUAAACCCUCUGUCUUCGAAGAUGUGUUGUUGUUCUCUCUUCGCAUUCCAGUUUGUCCAAGGUCUCCUCUUUGUCUGAAAGACUACAAUUGUACAGAUUUUAUUCCCUCCCUAGCUUCUCAGCCUUUGUCUCUGCAUUUACUACCUUAGCGGGCCCAGUGAAUGCGAUGAAAGUUGGGAAUCUGACCCUAAUGUUGACCAAGUCGGUUCAAUGCCAUCAUGGCACAAGUUUCACGGUCUCGCAUGGCGGAUGUGUCACAUACACCCGAUGUCCAGAGCCUAUCACAGGCACUGAAGACGGUCUACCAUGCGUUCCAAGUCCUGAAAAGGGCACGCGUCGGUUUUCCAAUGCUGGACGUAACAUGCUGAUCAUGGAGGAUGGUUUGUCUAUGCCGGGGUGCUAGAAGAUCUUGGAGAGAGAGCAGGUGAACCACGUAGGGCAUCCUCAUUUGAGUUGUCUUUGCGUUAAACUCGAUGGCCACGCAGGAAUACCAUGAGAGACGCUCUUAGCUGCUGUGGGAUAUAUUAUGCAUCCCCCACUGCGCCUUUUGAACACAACAAUUUGAUCUUUGGAUCAUUUGCCUACACUCGGUCAUGAAGUCAGUAUGUCAGAAGGAUCCACUCGUCGGCACCAAUUUGAUCUUCACGGAAGCAACCCAGGCGUUUUCAGCGGAUUAAGUUGUAGCGAGGUUCUUCUGACGACUGAGCGGAGUGAUCUUUGAUCAACUGUUGCGAUCCAUGUGAUCACAAUGGUGCCAUCUGGCUCGUUGUCCCGUUCUAAUAUAGCUUGGUUCUCGAUGCAUGAUAGUCCUGCAUGGCCAGGCGGUUAAUGUCACUCCUUCCUGUCCGUUGGUCAUCCAUCGUGUACGUGUUUCCAACCUCAGGGAGCCUGGGCUACUUGUACCUACUCUCCAACUCCUCGUCUCUAGUCUCUCCAGUCUUUACAAAGGCUAGCAAACUCCAAAUCACGGCACCCGCCAUUGAUUUACGCUCCAUCGGAGAUCCCGAUCGGCCGUGUUAACCAUCUCUUUGCAAUGUAGGUUGCAAAUAGAUUGAUGGGCGCCGACAAUCACGGCAAUGUCAUGUUGCUGUCCCUCCCUUUUGGGAGGAAGGACGCGGUUUUUAUGGAUGCUAUUUGUCCGCUUCUUUCAAGCCCUCCAAGUCUACCAGACGCGGAGAGGAAACAAAAGCUUGUCCCUGGGAAUACUGUACCACGCACGAGAGGUUGGCUUUGCGACAUGGGGGCGCUUCUGAUCGAGAUCAAUGACAUGUGGGGAAAGCAAGUGGGAGAUGGGGAUUUGAGAUUCAAGUCCGACAGGAAGCUUUCUGAAAGGGUUCUGUGCAUUCGAUUUCUCUGCAUAAAGGGCGUGAGGCAGUAUUGAUAUCGCAUCUGCGUUUGCGGGCUCUGCCAUUCUCCGACCGUUCAACUUCUGCCGAAUUGGGCACUACGACAUGACCUCUUUCGACGCACGCCGUUUCCAGGGAACAGAACGCUACAAACGUGUGGAACAAUGCAUGUUGCUCUCCUCUCCGUUGCACAAAUCAACUCUCUGCCCAUUCGUUUGGUUGGCUGACCGCUGCGGUUGCCAUGCGAGGGUGUGUACAACGUGAAGCAUAUUGCAGGACCUCUCUAGAGUGAGGAUCAAAGCUUAGGCUUGUCUGUGUGGCUUCCUCGGCGACAUGUCUCCGAACAUGGCAGCUUAGCAUGCGGAUGUGGUCUCCACGGGUAGGAUUGAUGGGUAACGAAGAGAGUAUACUGAUGCUCUGCAAUAUGGAGCGCCUUCAUCAAUUUCCAGGAACGGUGUUUGCGCAGGUGGCCUGUUGUAAGCCUUACAUUGGCGAGCCGAAUGAUAGCGGGUUGGUCGCGGCCUGUGAACCGCCGUUUCCUUUCGAGGAAACGGCCCCCUUUUUUCU